UACGGGGGGAGCAAGCGUUGUUCGGAUUUACUGGGCGUAAAGGGCGCGUAGGCGGCCUGUUAAGUCGAACGUGAAAUCCCCGGGCUCAACCCGGGAACUGCGUCCGAUACUGGCAGGCUUGAAUCCGGGAGAGGAGAGUGGAAUUCCUGGUGUAGCGGUGAAAUGCGCAGAUAUCAGGAAGAACACCCGUGGCGAAAGCGGCUCUCUGGAACGGUACUGACGCUGAGACGCGAAAGCGUGGGGAGCGAACAGG
rnacentral:rRNA from 1 species